rnacentral:rRNA from 1 species
GGCCUACCAUGGUGGUAACGGGUAACGGGGUGUUAGGGCACGACACCGGAGAGGGAGCCUGAGAAACGGCUACCACAUCCAAGGAUGGCAGCAGGCGCGCAAAUUACCCAAUCCCGACACGGGGAGGUAGUGACAAUAAAUAACAAUACGGGGUUCUUUCGGAUCUCGUAAUUGGAAUGAGUACAAUUUAAAUCUCUUAACGAGGAACAAUUGGAGGGCAAGUCUGGUGCCAGCAGCCGCGGUAAUUCCAGCUCCAAUAGCGUAUAUUAAAGUUGUUGCAGUUAAAAAGCUCGUAGUUGAAUUUCGGGAUCAGUAGGUUGGUCGUGCCUAUGGUAUGUACUGGCUUUACUGGUUCCUCCUUCUUGAUGAUCUGUAAUGUCAUUAAUUUGGUGUUGCAGGGAGUCAGGACUGUUACUUUGAAAAAAUUAGAGUGUUUAAAGCAGGCAUACGCUUGAAUACAUUAGCAUGGAAUAAUGAAAUAGGACGUUCGAUCCUAUUUUGUUGGUUUCUAGGAUUGACGUAAUGAUUAAUAGGGAUAGUUGGGGGCAUUAGUAUUCAAUUGUCAGAGGUGAAAUUCUUGGAUUUAUUGAAGACUAACUACUGCGAAAGCAUUUGCCAAGGAUGUUUUCAUUAAUCAAGAACGAAAGUUAGGGGAUCGAAGACGAUCAGAUACCGUCGUAGUCUUAACCAUAAACUAUGCCGACUAGGGAUCGGAUGAUGUUAUUUUUAAUGACUCAUUCGGCGCCUUACG